rnacentral:rRNA from 1 species
CCUACGGGUGACAGCAGUGAGGAAUAUUGCACAAUGGGGGCGACCUUGAUGCAGCAACGCCGCGUGGAUGAAGAAGUACUUCGGUAUUUGAAGCCCUGUCAGCAAGGAAGAAAAUGACGGUACCUGACCAAUAUGCCCCGGCUAACUACGUGCCAGCAGCCGCGGUAAUACGUAGGGGGCCAGCGUUAUCCGGAUUUACUGGGGGUAAAGGGAGCGUAGACGGCAAGGCAAGUCUGUAGUGAAAGUCCGUGGCCCAACCACGGGACUGCUUUGGAAACUGUGUUGCUGGAGUGCAGGAGGGGUAAGCGGAAUGCCUAGUGUAGCGGUGAAAUGCGUAGAUAUUAGGAGGAACACCGGUGGCGAAGGCGGCUUACUGGACUGUAACUGACGUGGAGGCUCGAAGGCGUGGGGAGCAAACAGGAUUAGAUACCCCUGUAGUC